rnacentral:lncRNA from 10 species
GACACACCAGAGCACAAGUCCAAAGCAUAACAAAUAGGCUAUCUAAGUCCCAAUAUAUUUAUGGAUGACGAAAGGGUUAUAACAGCAUUUUCCUAUUGAGACAAAAAAUACCUUAUACAAUUCUAUAUUUGUAUAUACAGAGAAAACAUUUUACUAUUUCAUAAGAAAACAUUUGAGUUAUAAAUUGGUUAACAAUUAUUCUGACAUGUUUGGAAAUAACUAGGAAAAAUAAUUGCUGAAAAUAUACUCCUUCCUAUAAUGGUGGUAUAAAAUAUGUAUUUUAAUCAUCAACAGAUUUAAGAAACUGUUCCAGACAAGAAUUUGAAAUACAAAUCUCUCACACCGCUGGCAGUUAUGGUGCCUUAUCUCCCUAAAGCAGUGCCAUCAUAGGAGGGCUCUACAUAACCGCAGAGGAUUUAAAAAUGGAAAAGGGAGGCCGAAGAGGAGAGUCAGAGAAAGCCGUGACUGUAUGGGAAUAAUCAGAAAGAUGCAAAGUUGCUGGCUUUGAAGACGGAGGAAGGAGACCACGAAUGCAGGUACGCUCUAGAAGACAGAAAAAUCAAGAAAACAGAUUCUUCCCUAGAACCUUCAGGAAAGAAUGCAGCUCUGAGAACGUGUUGAUUUUAGCUCGGUGAGAUCUAUGUGCAACUUCUAACCCAUAGAACUGUAAAAUCAUGAAUUUUUGUUGUUUUAAGCCAGUUUGUGGUAAUUUAUAACUAUAGUAAAAGCAACAGAAAAGUAAUACAUCUAGGAUUCUAAAAGACUAGAUUUAUUAUUCUUAAUCAAAUUGUGUUUACAGUUUAGUCAAAAAUACUACUACCCCAUUGAAUUAACCCAACUUAAUGUGUGACUUUUAUUUCUUACGCAUUGAUUAUACAUUUAAAAAAAAUCCCUCCCCACGAGGUCGACCUACCUCUAUUAUGAAAAUCUUUUGAAUAAAAGCCUAAGUCUAAUUGAAAUCACCAUUUGCAUCUUUAGAAUACCAA